UUUAUGGAGAGUUUGAUCCCGGCUCAGGAUUAACGCUGGCGGCGUGCCUUAUGCAUGCAAGUCGAACGGUCCUUCCCGCAAGGGAAGGACAGUGGCGAACGGGUGAGUAACGCGUAAGUAACCUGUCCUCAAGUAGGGAAUAACUCUGAGAAAUUAGAGCUAAUACCCUAUGUGGUCCUUCACUGUAAGGUGAAGGACUAAAGCCUUCGGGCGCUUGGGGAGGGGCUUGCGUCCGAUUAGCUGGUUGGUAGGGUAACGGCUUACCAAGGCGAAGAUCGGUAGCUGGUUUGAGAGGACGGUCAGCCACACUGGGACUGAGACACGGCCCAGACUCCUACGGGAGGCAGCAGCAAGGAAUAUUGUGCAAUGGGCGAAAGCCUGACACAGCGACGCCGCGUGGGGGAUGACGGCCUUCGGGUUGUAAACCCCUUUUCUCAGGGAAGAACAAUGACGGUACCUGAGGAAUAAGUCUCGGCUAACUACGUGCCAGCAGCCGCGGUAAUACGUAGGAGGCGAGCGUUAUCCGGAUUUACUGGGCGUA
rnacentral:ncRNA from 1 species